AGGUGUUAAUAAAACAUUAACAUUAUAAGGCCUUGUCAUGACCUAAUUGCCGGUUUCAACCCGACACACCUUU
rnacentral:tRNA from 1 species